GACGAACGCUGGCGGCGUGCUUAACACAUGCAAGUCGAACGGAAAGGCCCUGCUUUUGUGGGGUGCUCGAGUGGCGAACGGGUGAGUAACACGUGAGUAACCUGCCCCUGACUUUGGGAUAACUUCAGGAAACAGGGGCGAAUACCGGAUAGGAGCUCCUGCUGCACGGUGGGGGUUGGAAAGUUUCGGCGGUUGGGGAUGGACUCGCGGCUGAUCAGCUUGUUGGUGGGGGAGUGGCGUACCAAGGCUUUGACGGGCCGCCGGCCUGAGAGGGGGACCGGCCACAUGGGGACUGAGAUACGGCCCAGACUCCUACGGGAGGCAGCAGUGGGGAAUAUUGCACAGUGGGCGGAAGCCUGAUGCAGCGACGCCGCGUGCGGGAUGACGGCCUUCGGGUUGUAAACCGCUUUCGCCUGUGACGAAGCGUGAGUGACGGUAAUGGGUAAAGAAGCACCGGCUAACUACGUG
rnacentral:rRNA from 1 species